rnacentral:rRNA from 1 species
UUAAGCGACUAAGCGUACACGGUGGAUGCCCUGGCAGUCAGAGGCGAUGAAGGACGUGCUAAUCUGCGAUAAGCGUCGGUGAGGUGAUAUGAACCGUUAUAACCGGCGAUUUCCGAAUGGGGAAACCCAGUGUGAUUCGUCACACUAUCAUUAACUGAAUCCAUAGGUUAAUGAGGCGAACCGGGGGAACUGAAACAUCUAAGUACCCCGAGGAAAAGAAAUCAACCGAGAUUCCCCCAGUAGCGGCGAGCGAACGGGGAGGAGCCCAGAGCCUGAAUCAGUGUGUGUGUUAGUGGAAGCGUCUGGAAAGGCGCGCGAUACAGGGUGACAGCCCCGUACACAAAAAUGCACAUAUGUGAGCUCGAUGAGUAGGGCGGGACACGUGGUAUCCUGUCUGAAUAUGGGGGGACCAUCCUCCAAGGCUAAAUACUCCUGACUGACCGAUAGUGAACCAGUACCGUGAGGGAAAGGCGAAAAGAACCCCGGCGAGGGGAGUGAAAAAGAACCUGAAACCGUGUACGUACAAGCAGUGGGAGCCUCUUAAUGGGGUGACUGCGUACCUUUUGUAUAAUGGGUCAGCGACUUAUAUUCUGUAGCAAGGUUAACCGAAUAGGGGAGCCGAAGGGAAACCGAGUCUUAACUGGGCGUUAAGUUGCAGGGUAUAGACCCGAAACCCGGUGAUCUAGCCAUGGGCAGGUUGAAGGUUGGGUAACACUAACUGGAGGACCGAACCGACUAAUGUUGAAAAAUUAGCGGAUGACUUGUGGCUGGGGGUGAAAGGCCAAUCAAACCGGGAGAUAGCUGGUUCUCCCCGAAAGCUAUUUAGGUAGCGCCUCGUGAAUUCAUCUCCGGGGGUAGAGCACUGUUUCGGCAAGGGGGUCAUCCCGACUUACCAACCCGAUGCAAACUGCGAAUACCGGAGAAUGUUAUCACGGGAGACACACGGCGGGUGCUAACGUCCGUCGUGAAGAGGGAAACAACCCAGACCGCCAGCUAAGGUCCCAAAGUCAUGGUUAAGUGGGAAACGAUGUGGGAAGGCCCAGACAGCCAGGAUGUUGGCUUAGAAGCAGCCAUCAUUUAAAGAAAGCGUAAUAGCUCACUGGUCGAGUCGGCCUGCGCGGAAGAUGUAACGGGGCUAAACCAUGCACCGAAGCUGCGGCAGCGACACUAUGUGUUGUUGGGUAGGGGAGCGUUCUGUAAGCCUGUGAAGGUGUACUGUGAGGUAUGCUGGAGGUAUCAGAAGUGCGAAUGCUGACAUAAGUAACGAUAAAGCGGGUGAAAAGCCCGCUCGCCGGAAGACCAAGGGUUCCUGUCCAACGUUAAUCGGGGCAGGGUGAGUCGACCCCUAAGGCGAGGCCGAAAGGCGUAGUCGAUGGGAAACAGGUUAAUAUUCCUGUACUUGGUGUUACUGCGAAGGGGGGACGGAGAAGGCUAUGUUGGCCGGGCGACGGUUGUCCCGGUUUAAGCGUGUAGGCUGGUUUUCCAGGCAAAUCCGGAAAAUCAAGGCUGAGGCGUGAUGACGAGGCACUACGGUGCUGAAGCGACAAAUGCCCUGCUUCCAGGAAAAGCCUCUAAGCAUCAGGUAACAUCAAAUCGUACCCCAAACCGACACAGGUGGUCAGGUAGAGAAUACCAAGGCGCUUGAGAGAACUCGGGUGAAGGAACUAGGCAAAAUGGUGCCGUAACUUCGGGAGAAGGCACGCUGAUAUGUAGGUGAAGCGACUUGCUCGUGGAGCUGAAAUCAGUCGAAGAUACCAGCUGGCUGCAACUGUUUAUUAAAAACACAGCACUGUGCAAACACGAAAGUGGACGUAUACGGUGUGACGCCUGCCCGGUGCCGGAAGGUUAAUUGAUGGGGUUAGCGGUAACGCGAAGCUCUUGAUCGAAGCCCCGGUAAACGGCGGCCGUAACUAUAACGGUCCUAAGGUAGCGAAAUUCCUUGUCGAGUAAGUUCCGACCUGCACGAAUGGCGUAAUGAUGGCCAGGCUGUCUCCACCCGAGACUCAGUGAAAUUGAACUCGCUGUGAAGAUGCAGUGUACCCGCGGCAAGACGGAAAGACCCCGUGAACCUUUACUAUAGCUUGACACUGAACAUUGAGCCUUGAUGUGUAGGAUAGGUGGGAGGCUUUGAAGUGUGGACGCCAGUCUGCAUGGAGCCGACCUUGAAAUACCACCCUUUAAUGUUUGAUGUUCUAACGUGGGCCCCUUACCGGGGUUGCGGACAGUGUCUGGUGGGUAGUUUGACUGGGGCGGUCUCCUCCUAAAGAGUAACGGAGGAGCACGAAGGUUGGCUAAUCCUGGUCGGACAUCAGGAGGUUAGUGCAAUGGCAUAAGCCAGCUUGACUGCGAGCGUGACGGCGCGAGCAGGUGCGAAAGCAGGUCAUAGUGAUCCGGUGGUUCUGAAUGGAAGGGCCAUCGCUCAACGGAUAAAAGGUACUCCGGGGAUAACAGGCUGAUACCGCCCAAGAGUUCAUAUCGACGGCGGUGUUUGGCACCUCGAUGUCGGCUCAUCACAUCCUGGGGCUGAAGUAGGUCCCAAGGGUAUGGCUGUUCGCCAUUUAAAGUGGUACGCGAGCUGGGUUUAGAACGUCGUGAGACAGUUCGGUCCCUAUCUGCCGUGGGCGCUGGAGAACUGAGGGGGGCUGCUCCUAGUACGAGAGGACCGGAG